rnacentral:lncRNA from 1 species
UAUAUUGUUUCCCUCAUAUUGACAACAACAUUAAUAUAUACUAGCACUAUAGAUCCCUAAGAAGCAGAAACUGUGUGGACUCUCUUGCCCACUAUAAUCCUAAUGUUAAUUGCCCUCCCAACCCUACGUAUCCUGUACAUAACAGAUGAAAUUAACAACCCCUCUCUCACUGUCAAAACAACUGGCCACCAAUGAUACUGAAGCUAUGAAUAUACAGAUUAUGAAGACCUAGGCUUCGAUUCUUAUGUAGCCCCUACGACAGACCUGAAACCAGAAGAACUACGUCUCCUCGAAGUUGACAACUGAGCAGCUCUCCCAACAGAAAUCCCUAUUCACCUAUUAGUGUCAUUAGAAGAUGUUCUACACUCAUGGACUGUCCCAUCACUGGGCCUCAACACAGAUGGAAUCCCUGGGUGCUUAUAUCAAACUACCCUCACUGCCACACAGCCAGGCCUUUACUAUGGCCAAUGCUCAGAA